CUUCGGCCCGUAAACCCCUGUCAUUUGCGAUCAAACCUUACGACCUAACACGUUGUAAGCUGAUAGUAGCGGAAGAGGAAGGGACGGCUAACUCUGUGC
rnacentral:rRNA from 1 species